rnacentral:rRNA from 1 species
GAUGAACGCUGGCGGCGUGCUUAACACAUGCAAGUCGAACGGGAAAUCUUUCAUUGUGACUUCGGUGGAUUUGAUUUAUUUCUAGUGGCGGACGGGUGAGUAACGCGUGGGUAACCUGCCUUAUACAGGGGGAUAACAGUCAGAAAUGGCUGCUAAUACCGCAUAAGCGCACAGAGCUGCAUGUCUCAGUGUGAAAAACUCCGGUGGGAUAAGAUGGACCCGCGUUGGAUUAGCUGGUUGGUGGGGUAACGGCCCGCCAAGGCGGCGAACCAUAGCCGGCAGGGGGAGGGGAACGGCCAGAAUGGGAAUGAGGCACAGCCCAGACUGCUACGGGAGGGGGCAGAUGGGAGUAAUGCACAAGGGGGGGAAACCUGAUGAAGCGGCGCGGCGUGAAGGAAGAAGUGUCUCGGUAUGUAAACUUGUAUCAGCAGGGAAGAUAGUGACGGUACCUGACUAAGAAGCCCCGGCUAACUACGUG